UCUCGGCAAAUUAUCCUCAUAAGUUUGACAAUAAGAGAAACCAUAUAAAAUUUAAAUUAGCCAUAAUUUAAUUAAUAAUAUGGAAUAAUAAAAUCGGAGGCCACGACUGUUUACUAAAAACACAAUUCAGAGCAAUGAUUAAGAUAAUAGUAUUCUGGAUGAAAUUUGCUCAAUGCCAUUAAUAUAAGAGAGGUAAUUUUAAAGUUACUAAUCGAAAAUCUGGUUAAUAGCGGUCUUAACUAUGAGGAUCCUAAGGUAGCAAAAUAAAUUGGCCAUUAAAUGUGGUCUUGUAUCAAUAAUGUAACGAUGGUCUCACUGUCUCUACAACUUGCUCAGUGAAAUUGAAUUGCGAGUGCAGAUGCUCGCUGUCUUCAGAGGGACGGGAAGACCCUAUGCAGCUUCUACUGA
rnacentral:rRNA from 2 species